rnacentral:rRNA from 1 species
CCCUUAGAUGUCCGGGGCCGCACGCGCGCUACACUGAAGGAAUCAGCGUGGCUUUCUCCCUGACCCGAAAGGGUUGGGAAACCCGUUGAAUCUCCUUCGUGAUAGGGAUUGGGGCUUGAAAUUGUUCCCCAUGAACGAGGAAUUCCCAGUAAGCGCGAGUCAUAAGCUCGCGUUGAUUACGUCCCUGCCCUUUGUACACACCGCCCGUCGCUACUACCGAUUGAACGGUUUAGUGAGGGCCUCGGAUUGGUCUCGGCCCGCUCUUUACCGGGCGGCGCCGUUGGUCGAGAAGACGCUCGAACUUGAUCGUUGAGAGGAAGUAAAAGUCGUAACA